UUGGUAAGAGACUUUUGGUAAAGGAAGACCACAAAGGUAGGGAUUUCCCUCAUAACUGGUGUUGCCGAACGUUGCAAAUUGUCCCUUCAUCUCUGGCGUCUUACCAGAUAAGUUGUUGUGUGCCACGGUGAAGACCGCCAAGAAGUUGAGUGUAGUAGUCAAUUCUGAA